rfam:Gossypium raimondii Chr10_contig_1383, whole genome shotgun sequence.
UGUUAAAAAUUUCAUCCAUUUUUACAGUUAAAAAAUAGUGUGACAGACAAAAUAACUAGACAGUGAUACCUAGCAUGCUACAUGUAUCCCAUGCUCAUAUAUAGAUAUCAGUUUUUAACACUAAAAAUGGAUGAAAUUUUUAACA